CGUCUCUCUGAGUCACACCUGGAGAGUUUCCAGUACUCUACCAGUCUCGAAUAUGAGAGGGGGAGUCAAGCAGAGGAUUAUCCAUUUCAUUCCUUGCUUAGGCAGUGGCUAGCGAGUAGAAGGCAAUCUGCUACAAAA